CGUGUCUAGUGGGGUGUUGAUGUAGCUUAAGUUGUUUCGCCGUAGCCAAGGAGAGAAACGCCAAAAGAGGAUUUUCGGAGGUUUUAGGAGAUGUUCCAGAGGUUUAAGAGAAUAGGAAAUGUUUUCGACUGUCUCACACAAUUGCAUAUUAAAAGUUUUCCUUAAAAAAAAUGGCACAAAAUUAAUCCAAAAUCCUUUAAAAACAUUACGAAAGAGGGAGAACAAGAAGAGAAGAGAAAAGAGAAAAUAAAACGAACGAUUGUGGCAUUUUCCCGUUAAGUCGAACAU